GAUGAACGCUGGCGGCGUGCCUAAUACAUGCAAGUCGAGCGAACAGACGAGGAGCUUGCUCCUCUGACGUUAGCGGCGGACGGGUGAGUAACACGUGGAUAACCUACCUAUAAGACUGGGAUAACUUCGGGAAACCGGAGCUAAUACCGGAUAAUAUAUUGAACCGCAUGGUUCAAUAGUGAAAGACGGUUUUGCUGUCACUUAUAGAUGGAUCCGCGCCGCAUUAGCUAGUUGGUAAGUUAACGGCUUACCACGGCAACGAUGCGUAGCCGACCUGAGAGGGUGAUCGGCCACACUGGAACUGAGACACGGUCCAGACUCCUACGGGAGGCAGCAGUAGGGAAUCUUCCGCAAUGGGCGAAAGCUUGACGGAGCAACGCCACGUGAGUGAUGAAGGUCUUCGGAUCGUAAAACUCUGUUAUUAGGGAAGAACAAAUGUGUAAGUAACUAUGCACGUCUUGACGGUACCUAAUCAGAAAGCCACGGCUAACUACGUG
rnacentral:rRNA from 1 species